CGUCAAAUGUAGGAAAUCGAACACUGAUAACAAAAUAAUACAUAUUCGUAUUUCGUCCAUGUUCACUCUCCAUGGAACUGACAAAGUAACUAACUUAACACAAAACAUAUAUUUCUACCUACACUCUCAAGGAUGCGUAAAUAGAUUGAUAGAAAGAGACAGGAAUCCAGAGGGGGGAAACACAUGAGGGAUAUUUAAAUUUGUAGAAUGAGCAGAUCCCUUUCCUUCAUAAAUAAAUAUAAAGAAGUGAUGUGAUCAAUGCGAUGAGGAAGGAAGUUGAAAAUUGGUAAAACUUACAAUAUUUCCCAUAGUCUUUCAAACGGCCAACCACCAACUAACCCGCCAAACAUUCAUCAAUUUGUCGUUCAUAAGGAUUUGUAUUGUAUAUAAUAUGUUUUAUAUUUAUGUCUAGUCGUAUAGGUUAAUGGAUUUUAAGUUCCUAGAAUUCCUUUCGUCGUCUUUUUCAAUGAAAAAACAAAUGGAAAAGAUUGCUAUACUACAUAGAACAAAAAAAAAAAACACUAUUUGUAUUCAAAUGCUAAGGAAUGGAUCCAUCGUAAACGCGCAGAGGGCCAUCAUCCAUCAAUGUGUAAGAAAGACUCUCACAUAGAAAAUUGAUUUACUCCAAGUCGUGCUGAAUAAAUCAAGGAGCCACCUUCUACAGUCUUAAUAUGUAGAUAUUUCCCUGACGAUGAUGAUCCCUUCAUAAAUUAUUAUUCGAAUCGUGAUAGGAAUAUUUAACUCCAAAUGUGCGUCGCUCCAAUAAAUCAAUGUUGAGGAAGAAACGCACACACAAACAAACUAAGAUUGGAUUGCAGGUGGGACUAAUAUACCUCCUUCGUUCCUUGAAGGCGAAGUCCCUUGGAGGAUGAUGGUUCGUCCUUCUUCCGUUUACGAAAUAGAUUCAUGACACAAUUGAGACUUUUUAAAGGGACAUUCCCUUUCACAUUGUGGUGUCUGGUAGUGGCGUAGAAAGAGAAUAACUUUAGUGAAGUGGAAGGAAGUAUGUGUGUGGGGAAUGGAGGGGGAAUUGUUUUUGAUAUCGAUUUUUUCCAGCUGAUUUAACUUUAUAUAGAUAUCCAAUUGUGUAUGUAUAUAUAUGUAUGUGUGUCUAAGGGGACUUCAUAUGGCUUUCACAUAGUUAUCAAAGUUAGAAAUGAACGCACACCCUCUUUCCCCCACUAUUUUGUCAGCCCCUUCGAAAGCAGGUGGUAAACAUGUGUGUUCCAUGUAAGUACUUAGUCAACAGCAAUAACAACAAUAUGGGAAUAAACACUUCAUUAAACAUAACCAACGUACCUUUUCGUCCCUUACUCCACCAUCGUUCUCCCAUGAUUCCAAAGAGUCCCCAUGGGGUUUGAAUUUGUGUUUGCUAAACGUGCCUCCCAUUCUUAUGGGUAUCUUGGAUGAUUAGGUAUAGAAUAUAGAUGGAUCUAUGUAACAAGCAGAAGGCAAAGAAUUCCUAACGACGUCGAAGGAUUUCUGAAAUGAACAAAACAAUAUGUUAUUAAAAUAAAGGUCCACUUAUACGUAAUAUCAUAUUUUGUUUUCUUAAAAAAAAGACCUGCAUACUUCAAAUACCUAUAUUUGCAUAUGAAUAAUCAAUUUAAACAUGAUAAAUAUCAUUGCUUUACGAUAAGAACGACCACAUCCAUGUCAAUAGUAGUGUGUUUAUUUAAUUCUGUUUAUUAGAGAGAGUCACAAAAAAUAUAUAAAAUAUUUAUUAAACUAUGUAUCUAUGUCUUUAAAUAUAUAGUUUUUGAUUUUA
rnacentral:lncRNA from 1 species